rnacentral:rRNA from 1 species
AGUCGAGGGGCAGCGGGGGCGGAAGCUUGCUUUCGCCCGCCGGCGACCGGUGCACGGGUGAGUAACACGUAUGCAACCUGGCCGCCACAGGGGGAUAACCCGCGGAAACGCGGCCUAAUACCCCGUGACGCCACCGGAGGGCAUCCUCCGGUGGCCAAAGGAGCGAUCCGGUGGCGGAUGGGCAUGCGGCGCAUUAGCUAGACGGCGGGGUGACGGCCCACCGUGGCGACGAUGCGUAGGGGUUCUGAGAGGAAGGCCCCCCACACUGGGACUGAGACACGGCCCAGACUCCUACGGGAGGCAGCAGUGAGGAAUAUUGGUCAAUGGGCGGAAGCCUGAACCAGCCAAGUCGCGUGAGGGAUUAAGGCCCUGCGGGUCGUAAACCUCUUUUGCCGGGGAGCAGUGGUCCGGACGCGUCCGGGCCGGGAGAGUACCCGGAGAAAAAGCAUCGGCUAACUCCGUGCCAGCAGCCGCGGUAAUACGGAGGAUGCGAGCGUUAUCCGGAUUUAUUGGGUUUAAAGGGUGCGUAGGCGGGCAUUUAAGCCGGCGGUCAAAUGUCGGGGCUCAACCCCGGCCUGCCGUCGGAACUGGGUGCCUUGAGUGGGCGAGAAGUAUGCGGAAUGCGUGGUGUAGCGGUGAAAUGCAUAGAUAUCACGCAGAACCCCGAUUGCGAAGGCAGCAUACCGGCGCCCUACUGACGCUGAGGCACGAAAGUGCGGGUAUCGAACAGGAUUAGAUACCCUGGUAGUCCGCACAGUAAACGAUGGAUGCUAUCUGUCCGGGCCGAAUGAGGCCUGGGUGGCACAGCGAA